rnacentral:tRNA from 1 species
AAAUUUUUGUUUUGGAAACGAAAGAUUUUGAAAAUCUUUAAUAAAGGUUCAACUCCUUUAAAAUUU